GUGUCAGCCGCCGCGGUAAGACAGAGGAGGCAAGCGUUGUCCGGACUUACUGGGCGUAAAGCGUCCGCAGGUGGUCGUGCAAGUGCCGUGUGAAAGCGCUCGGCUUAACUGAGCGAGGCCAGGGCAGACUGCACAACUCGAGGUCGGGAGAGGUCGGUGGAAUUGCCGGUGUAGUGGUGAAAUGCGUAGAGAUCGGCAGGAACACCCAAGGGGAAGCCAGCCGACUGGCCCGCACCUGACACUCAGGGACGACAGCGUGGGGAGCGAACCGGAUUAGAUACCCUUGUAGUCC
rnacentral:rRNA from 1 species